rnacentral:rRNA from 1 species
GACGAACGCUGGCGGCGUGCCUAAUACAUGCCAGUAGAACGCUGAAGGAGGAGCUUGCUCUUCUGGAUGAGUUGCGAACGGGUGAGUAACGCGUAGGUAACCUGCCUGGUAGCGGGGGAUAACUAUUGGAAACGAUAGCUAAUACCGCAUAAGAGUAGAUGUUGCAUGACAUUUACUUAAAAGGUGCAAUUGCAUCACUACCAGAUGGACCUGCGUUGUAUUAGCUAGUUGGUGGGGUAACGGCUUACCAAGGCGACGAUACAUAGCCGACCUGGGAGGGUGAUCGGCCACACUGGGACUGAGACACGGUCCAGACUCCUACGGGAGGCAGCAGUAGGGAAUCUUCGGCAAUGGACGGAAGUCUGACCGAGCAACGCCGCGUGAGUGAAGAAGGUUUUCGGAUCGUAAAGCUCUGUUGUGAGAGAAGAACGAGUGUGAGAGUGGAAAGUUCACACUGUGACGGUAUCUUACCAGAAAGGGACGGCUAACUACGUG